UACAAAUAUGAUCUCAUUUUAGCUUCACAACAACCCUUCAAGGAUCAGAUGAUGGUGACUGGAUGUGACAGGUUGCCCUAUUCCUUUGGCAGCCACUAUGGAAAUAAACCCUCAAGAAGGAAUUUUUUCCCACAAGAUCAUUUUCAGAAAGGGUCCAGGCCUAAGUUGAGAAGGAGUGGUCUCAGCUUGUUGAGAAUUGGUGUACACGAACUGAUGCUGAGUGAAAUGAGCAGGACCAGGAGAUCAUUAUAUACUUCAA